UGCCAGCCGCCGCGGUAAUACGAAGGGACCUAGCGUUGUCCGGAAUCACUGGGCGUAAAGAGCAUGUAGGCGGAUGCUUAAGUUAGAUGUGAAAGCUUGAAGCUUAACUUCAAAAUUGCAUCUAAAACUGGAGAACUAGGUUCUUGGAGAGGUUGAUGGAAUUACCGGUGUAGCGGUGAAAUGCGUAGAUAUCGGUAGGAACACCAGUGGCGAAAGCGAUCAACUGGCCAAGUAACGACGCUGAGGGACGAAAGCGUGGGUAGCAAACAGGAUUAGAUA
rnacentral:rRNA from 1 species